CCCACAAUUGUGAUUGUGGCUUUAUGAAAUAACUUAAUGCAAAACACGCUGGAUGUUUUUGCUUUACGCCUCUUGAAAUCUUUAGAUGAAAAAAAAGCCUGCUUUUGAGGACCCCUUUUGCUACUUAUGCUAGGAGUUUUCAUUUGCUGCAUUUAGUUGGUCUCUGCAUUUAGUUUUCAUUUGCUCCAUUCAGGCAUAAGUAUAAUUUAUAAAUAAUUAAAUGGGAAUAUAAGAAGUUUUAAAAGCAAAAUGAGAUUUAAAAGUAAAAAUAAUGUAAUAGAAAUAGAUGCAAAACAUACGUUUACCAAACAAAUAAAUGUUAAACAUUGUUAAAAAAUGUCCUUUAUGAUUUCAUAUUUCUAAGUAGGACUAAAAUUAAGAAAUGUAUCUUAAAAUUGAACUGAUAAUAUGAAUAAUAAAGAACUUGUUCAGAGAUAAUAAAUGAUUGAGGGUCUAUUUUUUUCCCCCCUUUCUCUUUUAAUUAUUAUUAUGUUUUUUUAAGUUGAGGUAAUUUUCGUUGUGAGUUUGAAAAGCCAAAGAGAUACAAAGCCUAUCCUCUUAAAUGGUUGGGACAUGGGAGGUACAAUCAUUCCAGCACUGAUCUCAGGCAGUCUAUUUUUCCAUCUCCAACGAAAACAUGGUCUGGGUCUUUUUCCUGUUGACCCGCCUUCAGGUUAGUGCUGUGUUGUAAUAUGGUGGGCUUUUAUCCUUUCACAUUUUACUGUGCUUAUUCUAUGGAAAUUUCACAAUACCUGUUUUUUUUAUCUGUCAACAAGAAAAUUAUCUGACCCUGGCUUAGGAAAUUACAUACUAGAACAACAGUGAGCUCUUUCGUACCCAGUUUCUUGGAUUUUACUAUUUGCUUCUGUUUUUUCUUUUCUUUCCCUAAAAUGUCAUUUGGUUUUAGCGUGUUCAGCUUAUGUGUAGUUUGUCAGCAUUGUACCAUGGAAAAAUGAGCUCUUGUGCCUUAAUAAUAGCAAAAAAAGGAUCUUUAUAUGUCUUAUUUAAGCAUGAGUAAUUUUUCUUUUCCUUAAAAAAAAAAAAAAAAAAAAAAGAAGGAUAGGUCUUUGUAAUCUGUUUCUGUAUUGCAACUGCAGCAUUUCCCCUACGUAGGAAACAAUAUGGGAUCACCACUGGCCAUUGCCUGUUUGAAAGUCUUGAUCAUACUCUUAACCAUGCUAUUAGAUUGAGUAGUCGUUGUUAAUAUUCUAUGCAAGUUUUAUGGACUUGCAAAGGCUGCGUGUAAAUCAAAGACUAGGUAUGUGGUUGACGCCCACCCUAGGAGGGCAUGUCUUGCUCAGAAGCUUUUCUUAGGGGAAAGCAUGCAUAAAAGAACUCCCUAACAAGUAUCAUCACCAUGGGCAAUUGGCCGCCUUUACAUAUUCUAGUACUCUCUAGAGGAGUUAUAAUUUAUAGUUCCUUAAGGAUAUUUUCAUUCUUAGAGCCAUAAGGAUGAACUAUUCUGUUGGAAAUUGUUAUAAGUGGGUGAUUACACAGCAGCUUAUCAUGAACUCUGAUGAUAUCCUCUUAGAACUGUAAAAAUGAUAUCCUUUUUGAACUGCAAAUAUCUCCAAAGCUUGUUUCUUUAAAUACUUCUUGUAUUUGCUCGACGGAACCUGGAGACUGACUAGAGAAUGUGAACUUCUUUUGUUAGUCUGUGACUGUAAUAUAUGGCCAAAGUUACUUUCUGCGUACCUUUCUAUCUCAACUGUUCUUGCAGAUUGCUCGAUCCUCUCUCUCUUUCUCUCAUGUCACCCUUUACAAGUUUUGUAUAUAGUUCCUUAUGGUGCAGAUCAUUUUCUAAUUCAUGAACCUCAGCAACAUAUUUUCCUUUUAGUUGAAGAAAGAGUUUAAGUGAAUAUGAGUACUAUAUAUUUCAAAGGGGGUUGUACAAAGUGGGUCGGAAAGGCUAAAUCUUCUAGUUCUUCGUGCGAAGUUCUAGUUCGGGAUUGCUCAAAAUAUAGUACCUUUAUUAACAAAAACCUUGGCUCAAAGGAGGAAGUUCAUCGGUUCCCAAAUAAAGAAACCACUUUAAGAGAUGGAGACCUGGAACUGAUAAUGCAACCUACAGGUUUUAUUUUGUUCCACUAAUUUUCUGGGAAUGCUCCUUGAAGAACCUUCCAAGUGAAUCAUCCCCUUCAGGACAAAAUUUCAUCAAUUGGUUAGUAAGGAGGACAUUUUGUGGAUGACGGUUCCCAUGCGUAGCUGCCCAACUGUUUUUAUUGUUGCAUGUUACAAAUGGUCUCCUGAUUUGGAUUUUAGUUUACUGUUAUUCUAUUUGUGUGUUUAUGCUGGCUUAGUUUAUAUGGUUGGGUCAUUUUUCUUAAAAUUUUAAACUUUAGGACGCUGGUGGCAACUUAAUGUCGUAUUAGAAUUUAAAGUUAUCUGCUUGGUCUUCUGUUCAAGUCUUUAUCUAUUGUCAGCACGUCAGCUCCACUUUAUUUCUGGUUAUUGAGCAUGCCUAUAUGUGAGGGGAUUGUUAGAUGUUUUUUGUUGAUUAGAUUUACAAGGCUGGUCCACUUUUAAAUCUCUCAAUUUUCAGUAUUAUAUGUGUAUUAAUGUCCAUGUUAACUUGAUAUUUACAAUUAGCCUCAGUUCCUAUCAUCUUAAUCUUUUAGGAUAGAUUUAUAAUUUACCAUGUAUUUGAUCUGGUUGUCUAUCUGUGUUGUAUUCAAAAUUUUUACUCCCAUUUUUGGUAAUUUAUUGUUCUGCACAUAUAAGACCUGCCUUAUCUACUAUUAUCGCAAAUCUACAUGUGAGGAGUGGGGAACAUUAGUUUGUCCUUGUAUUGAAUUUCUUAAGGUGGAGCCACUUUUUCAUAGGUGCUUCUAAUAAAACACCAUGUUGAUGAUA